rnacentral:rRNA from 1 species
AGUGAACGCUGGCGGUAGGCCUAACACGUGCAAGUCGAACGGCAGCACAGUAAGAGCUUGCUCUUACGGGUGGCGAGUGGCGGACGGGUGAGGAAUACAUCGGAAUCUACUUUUUCGUGGGGGAUAACGUAGGGAAACUUACGCUAAUACCGCAUACGACCUACGGGUGAAAGCAGGGGAUCUUCGGACCUUGCGCGAUUGAAUGAGCCGAUGUCGGAUUAGCUAGUUGGCGGGGUAAAGGCGCACCAAGGCGACGAUCCGUAGCUGGUCUGAGAGGAUGAUCAGCCACACUGGAACUGAGACACGGUCCAGACUCCUACGGGAGGCAGCAGUGGGGAAUAUUGGACAAUGGGCGCAAGCCUGAUCCAGCCAUACCGCGUGGGUGAAGAAGGCCUUCGGGUUGUAAAGCCCUUUUGUUGGGAAAGAAAAGCAGCAGGUUAAUACCCCGCUGUUCUGACGGUACCCAAAGAAUAAGCACCGGCUAACUUCGUG